rnacentral:lncRNA from 1 species
CUGGAUGGUCACAUUAAUGGAGUGCAUGUGUCAGUUUUGUGUUACUACAAUGAAAUACCUGACACAAGCUACCUAUGAAGUAAAGAAAGGUUUAUUUUGGCUUAUGGUUCUGGGGAUUCAAGUUCAAGAUCAGGUUGCCCCCUUGGCUUGGGUCCCUGGUGAGGGCAGCCCAUCACUGUGGAUGGCAUGUAGAAGUGAAUGCUAUCAGAAGUCAGGAAGCAGAGAGAGGCCAGUGACCAAGACCUCCCACCAGGCCCCGCCUUUUAAAGGUUCCAUCACCUCCCAAUAGCACUACCUUGGGGACCAAGCUUCUGACCAUGGAUCUUAGGGGAACACUAUCCACAUGGAAACCACAUCAUGGGAUAACAUAACACAUUACCUCUUCUCUUGGCAAAAUGAAUUCACUAUUUAUCCAUCAUUUUGUGGGUAUCAGUGUUUUCUUCCUCUUUAAUUUUGGGUAAUGUUCCAUUCAAUGGAUUUAUUACAGCUUUUAAAUCCAUUCUUUGGUGCCAAGGCAUGUGAAUUGUUU